GACGAACCGAGCGAACGUUAUUCGGAAUCACUGGGCUUAAAGGGCGCGUAGGCGGGCCGUCAAGUCGAGGGUGAAAUCCCCCAGCUCAACUGGGGAAGUGCCUCCGAUACUGGCGGCCUCGAGGGGGAUAGGGGCAUGCGGAACUUCCGGUGGAGCGGUGAAAUGCGUAGAUAUCGGAAGGAACACCGGUGGCGAAAGCGGCGUGCUGGGUCCCUUCUGACGCUGAGGCGCGAAAGCCAGGGGAGCGAACGGG
rnacentral:rRNA from 1 species